rnacentral:misc_RNA from 1 species
GAUCAUUACCGAGUGUAGGGUUCCUAGCGAGCCCAACCUCCCACCCGUGUUUACUGUACCUUAGUUGCUUCGGCGGGCCCGCCAUUCAUGGCCGCCGGGGGCUCUCAGCCCCGGGCCCGCGCCCGCCGGAGACACCACGAACUCUGUCUGAUCUAGUGAAGUCUGAGUUGAUUGUAUCGCAAUCAGUUAAAACUUUCAACAAUGGAUCUCUUGGUUCCGGCAUCGAUGAAGAACGCAGCGAAAUGCGAUAACUAGUGUGAAUUGCAGAAUUCCGUGAAUCAUCGAGUCUUUGAACGCACAUUGCGCCCCCUGGUAUUCCGGGGGGCAUGCCUGUCCGAGCGUCAUUGCUGCCCAUCAAGCACGGCUUGUGUGUUGGGUCGUCGUCCCCUCUCCGGGGGGGACGGGCCCCAAAGGCAGCGGCGGCACCGCGUCCGAUCCUCGAGCGUAUGGGGCUUUGUCACCCGCUCUGUAGGCCCGGCCGGCGCUUGCCGAACGCAAAUCAAUCUUUUUCCAGGUUGACCUCGGAUCAGGUAGG